rnacentral:rRNA from 1 species
AACGAACGCUGGCGGCAGGCCUAACACAUGCAAGUCGAACGCCGUAGCAAUACGGAGUGGCAGACGGGUGAGUAACACGUGGGAACGUACCUUUCGGUUCGGAAUAACUCAGGGAAACUUGAGCUAAUACCGGAUACGUGCGAGAGCAGAAAGAUUUAUCGCCGAAAGAUCGGCCCGCGUCCGAUUAGCUAGUUGGUGAGGUAAUGGCUCACCAAGGCGACGAUCGGUAGCUGGUCUGAGAGGAUGAUCAGCCACACUGGGACUGAGACACGGCCCAGACUCCUACGGGAGGCAGCAGUGGGGAAUAUUGGACAAUGGGCGCAAGCCUGAUCCAGCCAUGCCGCGUGAGUGAUGAAGGCCCUAGGGUUGUAAAGCUCUUUUGUCC